rnacentral:rRNA from 1 species
UAUAUUGGACAAUGCGGGCAUCCCUGAUCCAGCCAUCCCGCGUGUGUGCCGUAGGCCUUUUGGUUGUAAACCACUCUAAGCGAGUUCGUGGCUACUUAGAUUAAUACUCUUGGCUAGUUGACGUUACUCGCAUAAUAAGCACCGGCUAACUCUGUGCCAGCAGCCGCGGUAAUACAGAGGGUGCAAGCGUUAAUCGGAUUUACUGGGCGUAAAGCGCGCGUAGGUGGCCAAUUAAGUCAAAUGUGAAAUACCCGAGCUUAACUUGGGAAUUGCAUUCGAUACUGGUUGGCUAGAGUAUGGGAGAGGAUGGUAGAAUUCCAGGUGUAGCGGUGAAAUGCGUAGGGAUCUGGAGGAAUACCGAUGGCGAAGGCAGCCAUCUGGCCUAAUACUGACACUGAGGUGCGAAAGCAUGGGGAGCAAACAG